rnacentral:rRNA from 1 species
UGGGGAAUAUUGCACAAUGGGCGCAAGCCUGAUGCAGCCAUGCCGCGUGUGUGAAGAAGGCCUUCGGGUUGUAAAGCACUUUCAGCGGGGAGGAAGGCGUUAAGGUUAAUAACCUUGGCGAUUGACGUUACCCGCAGAAGAAGCACCGGCUAACUCCGUGCCAGCAGCCGCGGUAAUACGGAGGGUGCAAGCGUUAAUCGGAAUUACUGGGCGUAAAGCGCACGCAGGCGGGCUGUCAAGUCGGAUGUGAAAUCCCCGGGCUCAACCUGGGAACUGCAUUCGAAACUGGCAGGCUAGAGUAUUGUAGAGGGGGGUAGAAUUCCAGGUGUAGCGGUGAAAUGCGUAGAGAUCUGGAGGAAUACCGGUGGCGAAGGCGGCCCCCUGGACAAAGACUGACGCUCAGGUGCGAAAGCGUGGGGAGCAAACAGG